UGCUGGUGGGAAGGUAGCGUUGCGUCAUCCCGACCGACUGCUCACACUCAGUUACCAGUCUAGCUCCUUGUUGUACCCUUUCCCCCUUCUCACUACUGCACUUGACCAGUCUUCA
ensembl:misc_RNA Y_RNA Y RNA